rnacentral:lncRNA from 1 species
UAGAGAGAAGAAAUUGUCAUUUCUCUCAAAAUCUUUGAGUAAGUGUUUACAUCUCAUAGAUCUAGACUCUAUGGUGUUAUAUAUGUGUAUAUAUGUAUGAUUGAAGCAAGAAAACACCCCUUCACCCCUUUUGUGAGAUUUUUGAAAAUAGGGAGUUUUUCCCCUUCAAAAAUCUUUCUUAUUCUUUUCAUAAAUUAGGAUGAGAUUUAUGUUUACUAAAGUGUUUUAAGAUAAUUGCUAUGUGUGUUGAAAAGUUUUGACAUGAGAUAUGAAUUUUCAUUUAGUUUAGUUUACCUAAAAUUGGGAGAUCUUGAGUUUAAGGUUUGAUUGAUAAUUUGAUGAUGAGUAUGAGAUUAUGAGAUGUCUAAGAUGAUGAUUGAUGGAGUAGAUUGUGGAUGUGAUGUUAAUUGAUGACUUCAAUGUGAGUUAGUUGAUGAAAAAUUAGGUAUAUGUGUAUCUAUGCCUAAAAUUGUUAAUUGAUGGUUUAUAUGUGUGAUUAAGUGGCUUAAAUUGAUAGAUCUAAGGUUAGAUUAAUGUUUCAUUUGCAUUUGUGAAGUUUCAAAAAGUCCAAUUUAUCAAAAAUCGGGACUUUCAUGUCUUUUGUGCUUUAGUUUAAGAAAAAUGUUUUUGAGGCAGCUCUGGCCUCCGAGCUGACAUUCUGCUCUGCUCUGCCGAGUCAUUCUCUCUGCUCUGCUCUGCCGAGUCAUUCUGCUCUGCUCUGCCAAGUCACUAUGCUCUGCUCUAUCGAGUCAUUCUGCUAUGCUCUGCCGAGUCAUUCUGCUCUGCUCUGUCGAGUCAUUCUGCUCUGCUCUGCCGAGUCAUUCUGCUCUGCUCUGCCGAGUCAUUCUGCUCUGCUCUGCCGAGCUAUUCUGUUCUGACGUCCGAGCUAAUUCUGCUCUGUCUGUUGAACUCACACUACUCUGGCUACCGAGUAAUCUCUGCUCUCACCACCGAGCUAAGUCGAAUGAGUCAAAUAUUUAUGUAUUGAUGUUCUUGAGCAUUAUAAGAAUAUAAUAUGAGUUUUGAAGAGUUUUCAUUAAAGAAGUAUGGACUUUGAGUAUGUUUGCUUGUAUGUUGAGUGUGGAGUCGUCUUGCAACUCUUUUGUACCUACUGUUUUCGAUGGGUUAUUGUUACCCAAACACCAUGAAAAUUCUAUGAUAAGUAUAUAUGAGAGUCUUGAGCAUACUAGUAAAAUUUCAAGUCUUUUACACCUUGUUUACUAUUUUCUAAAAUGUAAAACCCCAACUGCCACAUUCUGCCAAAAUUUUCGAAGGGCAGCCCUGAAAGUCACAUUUUUCAGUAGCUUCCCCUAAUGUUUUGAUUUCCAAAUUUUUAUGGUAAAUACCUUAAUGUGUCAGCCAACUACCCACCAAAUUCCGAAGUGAACUGGUUAAGUUUUUAAUUUGAGAAAUGCAGAAUGAUGAUUGUAUGUGAUAUGUAUAUGUGUUUCUAUGUGCCUUAUGUGUCUAUGCAUGUCUAUGUGCUUGAUUGUUAUUAGUCUAGCCCUACUUGAGUGACAAGUCGAGAGUAGGAUUUGUGAUUUCUUAGGAUAUAUGUAUAUACUUAGGAGAUUGAGAUAGUUGGAGUAUAUAGAAGAUGAAUGAUGAGAUAGCAUUGAGAUAAGAAUGAUAUACAUAGUAAGGGAGUUCCUGACUAGUUUUAUUUAUCUUAUCUCAUGAACCACUCCGACGUUGUGACAUCUGAAGCUACGAGCAGAGAACAGAAGUAAGAUCGCCCAAGUACUACGAGAGUAAGCUAAGUUUGUCAGGUGGGCAUUAUUUUGAGUAUACAUAUUAUACGAACUUUCUUAAAUGAUAUGAUAUUUAUGAUUAUGAUUUGAGUUAAAUGAUGUUUUAAACUGUUUGACUUGCCAAGUUAUAAUGAUAAAUUGUAUGUUACCCUCUACUGUUGAGAUGAGACGAAUUCGGUCCUGCCACAAGCGGGAUUUUGUGCACAGAGGUGACUGCGAGCCGUCUUCGGGUCGGCCGGUCACGGUACUUGAGAGGAAGGCCUACUUCUCAGUAUCUUUAAUAAUGAGUUGUAGACGUGGUACAUGCAUGCUAAGUAUUUUGACUGCAAUCGCUUAUUUAUGAUGUUUAUGAUUUACGAAAUUGCUUACACAGGUUCGUUCCAACUAAAUCACUGUGUAUUGCUUAUGUGGCAAGUUCAAUUUAUAGCUCUAAGAGUAAGCUUUCAUCUGUUUUUCGGAAUAUGUCCACUGAAAAUUUUGUACUCAGCCUUGCAUGUAUUUCUAAAUGUGCAGGAUAAGCGAGGAGGAUGAAGAUCGGUCUGGUGCUGGCGGGGACUUAUUUUGGACGACGUUGUUUCUUUUACCGUAUUUCUACUUCAUACGGUAGCCUUUUGAGGUUGGAUGUUUAUAUUUUGAACUUAAUCAGGAAAUACACUCUCGGCUAUAUGUCUUCAUACAUAUAGUCUGAUCACGUUUUGCUGCGAGACUCUAUAAAUUAUAAACCUUUGUAAAUUUUUAACUAUGUCCGCU